rnacentral:piRNA from 1 species
AGGAAAAUCACACUUAAAUGAUUGUCUUCU